rnacentral:misc_RNA from 1 species
CAGAAGCAAGAACGCUUUCUUUCCAAGCUAAGCAAAGCGAACAUUCUAAGAUUUUUGCAACUCUGGGAGUAGUUUGCAAGUGCUGUGAUGGCGACCAGGGUGAAUGCACAGCAACAUGGAAGAAGGGAUCUUGCCACAAGCUCCAGUGCCUUCCUUGGAAGAUAGCCUAAAAAUUGUUUCCUUUAAUUUUGUUUUUUCUGGUGCCUGAAGAUGCCGAUAUUCAAUAAUUUAACCCUAAACUAAUUGAAAUCGACUAUAUAUAUAUAUAUAUAGUUUUUUUCAUCGCUCAAUUUUGUUGGACACCACGACGGCAUCCAAAGAUUGUAACAUACCCAUAUUCAAUGAAGUAAUGAAUUUUG